GCUCACAUAGGACUCUGUAGAGUGUUGUUUCUACUGCCUCACUUUAAGCUCUCGGCAGACCAAGCUAUCAACCCUGCCCAGGUUUCUUUGGAUUGCACAUAAAAGACACAUACAUUAAGAUACUUUUGAUGAGACGGCUCAGUGGCCAGGUUCUUCUAAGCCUCCUCCAAAUAGGAUGCCCUCCUUUUUACUCCCAGCUCAGCACCUCUAAAUCUGCCCUCAGCUCAGUUGCUAAGUUGCCUUUGGUCAUAGCUCAGCACCCAAAUCUGCUCUUAACUUUAUUGUGUUUAUAACCUCCUGGCCGCUACACCAAGCCCAGUCUGGGAGACCAUCAAAGGCCACUCAACCCUAGAUAUCAAAUGGCUGGUAGCUCUUACUCCCUCUGAAGUAUUAAAUCCCUUCUCCUCUCCUGUGUCUCCUAGCCUGCCUGGAGGAAAACUAGAAGACCUGCCUAUGCCACCCAGCUGGUUGGCCAACAGCAUCAUUAUUGAACUAUCAAGAAUCAGCGUUCAAAGGAAGAUUCCUGAUCUAAGCAUCAAAACCACACCCUACAGGACUCAACGCCUGUCUCUGCAAUUGCAGCAGAGAAGACUGAGAGAUCGUGUGCUGCUGCCGCCAUGCCAAGAUUCUGUAGCAACAACUUCCUUGGUGAUAGGAGCCUGUAUGCAGCAGGCCCCUUGGUGGGCCUGUCAUCUCACAAAAAGAUGCUUCAGUAAUCCAAAAGAUUGGACUCCAGUAUACUUCAGGCCAGGAAUGAAGCCAGCUACCAUGGGUAAAGAACAAGGGAAAAAUUACAUUGGAAAAAUAUGUGCCUUAUUUGGAAGAAAUGACCCUAAACUUCUAAGGCGUCCACCAUCUCCACCCCUCUGUUUUGAGCUUUGCAUAGCGAUGAUGUCCAACUCCAGGUGGGAGUCAGAGGCAGAGCCCUUCCCAGAGAAGCCAUACAUGUUUUUGUCUCUAACAUCUGUGAGGUUAGGAGGCGUCAUAGCACAGACUGAGCACACCUACGAUAAGAACACAGAAGCCACAGAUGACAAUGUCAAAUGGACUUUCCCCUGAACUUAGGGACCCACUAAAAUUGAGGUUUAACCUGACCUCAGGCCAUUCGACUCCCUGCC
rnacentral:lncRNA from 1 species